rnacentral:rRNA from 1 species
AUUGAACGCUAGCGGGAUGCUUUACACAUGCAAGUCGAACGGCAGCGCGGACUUCGGUCUGGCGGCGAGUGGCGAACGGGGGAGUAAUGUAUCGGAACGUGCCCAGUAGCGGGGGAGAACUACGCGAAAGCGUAGCUAAUACCGCAUACGCCCUACGGGGGAAAGCAGGGGAUCGUAAGACCGUGCACGAGUGGAGCGGCCGAUAUGGGAUUAGCUAGUUGGUGAGGGAAGCGCUCACCAAGGCGAGGAUCGGCAGCUGGUUUGAGAGGGCGACCGGCCGCACUGGGACUGAGCCACGGACCAGACUCCUACGGGAGGCCGCAGUGGGGAAUUUUGGACAACGGGGGCAAACCUGAUCCAGCCAUCCCGCGUGUGCGGUGACGGCCUUCCGGUUGUAAAGCCCUUUUGGCAGGAAAGAAACGUCGCCGGCUAAUACCCCGUGGAACUGACGGUACCUGCAGAAUAAGCACCGGCUAACUACGUG